GAUGAACGCUGGCGGCGUGCCUAAUACAUGCAAGUCGAGCGAAUGGAUUAAGAGCUUGCUCUUAUGAAGUUAGCGGCGGACGGGUGAGUAACACGUGGGUAACCUGCCCAUAAGACUGGGAUAACUCCGGGAAACCGGGGCUAAUACCGGAUAACAUUUUGAACCGCAUGGUUCGAAAUUGAAAGGCGGCUUCGGCUGGCACUUAUGGAUGGACCCGCGUCGCAUUAGCUAGUUGGUGAGGUAACGGCUCACCAAGGCAAGGAUGCGUAGCCGACCUGAGAGGGUGAUCGGCCUCACUGGGACUGAGACACGGCCCAGACUCCUACGGGAGGCAGCAGUAGGGAAUCUUCCGCAAUGGACGAAGGUCUGACGGAGCAACGCCGCGUGAGUGAUGAAGGCUUUCGGGUCGUAAAACUCUGUUGUUAGGGAAGAACAAGUGCUAGUUGAAUAAGCUGGCACCUUGACGGUACCUAACCAGAAAGCCACGGCUAACUACGUGCCAGCAGCCGCAGUAA
rnacentral:rRNA from 1 species